CUAACGCUGACGGGGGCGAUUUC
rnacentral:miRNA from 1 species